rnacentral:rRNA from 1 species
GUUAGGAAUAUUGGACAAUGGGCGCAAGCCUGAUCCAGCCAUGCCGCGUGAGUGAUGAAGGCCUUCGGGUUGUAAAGCUCUUUAGCCGAUGAUUAUAAUGACUGUAGUCGGAAAAUAAGCCCCGGCUAACUUCGUGCCAGCAGCCGCGGUAAUACGAAGGGGGCGAGCGUUAUUCGGAAUCACUGGGCGUAAAGCGUGCGUAGGCGGUUUUGUAAGUUAGGAGUGAAAGCCCAGGGCUCAACCCUGGAAUUGCUCUUAAAACUACAAGGCUAGAAUGUCGGAGAGGAUAGCGGAAUUUCCAGUGUAGCAGUGAAAUGCGUAGAUAUUGGAAGGAACACCAGUGGCGUAAGCGGCUAUCUGGACGAGUAUUGACGCUGAGGCACGAAAGCGUGGGGAUCAAACAGGAUUAGAUACCCUUGUAGUCC